rnacentral:rRNA from 1 species
AUUGAACGCUGGCGGCAUGCCUUACACAUGCAAGUCGAACGGCAGCACGGGAGCAAUCCUGGUGGCGAGUGGCGAACGGGUGAGUAAUAUAUCGGAACGUGCCCGGUCGUGGGGAUAACGUAGCGAAAGCUACGCUAAUACCGCAUACGAUCUACGGAUGAAAGCGGGGGAUCGCAAGACCUCGCGCGAUUGGAGCGGCCGAUAUCAGAUUAGGUAGUUGGUGAGGUAAAGGCUCACCAAGCCGACGAUCUGUAGCUGGUCUGAGAGGACGACCAGCCACACUGGGACUGAGACACGGCCCAGACUCCUACGGGAGGCAGCAGUGGGGAAUUUUGGACAAUGGGCGCAAGCCUGAUCCAGCAAUGCCGCGUGCAGGNUNAAGGCCUCGGGUUGUAACUGC